rnacentral:lncRNA from 1 species
UGAUAUAUUAGUGGAAAGCUAGAUGCGUUGGCUUUUCUUCUUUACAUCAACAUAAUGGUUAGUAUUAUAAAUAAUAGUGCAGCACAAAAAUUAUACCUGAGAGCUUCUCGUGCUGAUAACGUGUUAUAAAAUAACCUGGGAUAUGUGCGAUAAUUCAGAGCUGCACGUAAAGUAGAUGAGACACAGCAUUUAACGAGGUUCGGCUAUGCCUAUGUCCUCGGAGAGCAGCAGCAGUGACUUUUCCACUAUGUAACGUGUUAUAAAAUAACCUGGGAUAUGUGCGAUAAUUCAGAGCUGCACGUAAAGUAGAUGAGACACAGUAUUUAACGAGGUUCGGCUAUGCCUACGUCCUCGGAGAGCAGCAGCAGUAACUUUUUCACUAUGUAAAAUAAUAGGGCUACAAGUUUAGUGUUUACAAUAUAUGUGGCUCAUUGAAUUCUCUCUAGGAGAAUUUCUCUCUGCUCUCUCUUUCCUCUUUCUUCCUUCUCUUCCUUUUUCUUUUUUCUUCUCUUCUUCUUUCCGUUUCUCUUCUUAUUUAUAGGCUGAAAUAAUCACUAUUCAUCACUAUUCAUCACUGUUCACCCGUGACAGACAAACUCUAUCAAAGCCGCCAAAUGAACAGUAANNNNN